rfam:Alkaliphilus metalliredigens QYMF, complete genome.
ACCAAGGUUUUUUUGAAAACCAUAUAAGAGAAGCCUAUGAAGUCCAU